GAUUCCAACAUUUUCUAAUUUCAUUUUAAAAGUAUGUGAAAUGUGGUACUUUUAAGAGCUAAAACUUUUUAGUCAAAUGUAAAAUUGAAUAAAUUGAAAGUUUUUCUUCAGAUUAAAAUUGUGAUUUUUACAGUGAGUGCACUCAAAUCAAAAUUUGUAGAAUAGUCAAAUUAACUUUCAUAUUAUGCAUCUCUGGCAACACGGACAACGAAAAUAAUGAAACUGGCAGCUUAGCUGACCUGUCAUUAUUGAAAAUAAGAAACAAAAAGUUUACUCAACGUUUGUGCUAAAGACCGAAGAACAGCAUGUAAAGUGACACUAUGUUGACCCUGUUCCUGUACCAUCCGAGAAAGAAUUAGGAAACCGGUGUCAGUCGCGGCAUGUGUCUGAAGAAAGGAUAUGGGAGGUUUUCCCGUGAAGGUUAGAUUCGCAACAUCAUCAUCAUCUUCAUCAUCAUCAAUCACCAGAAUAUCAGAGACCAUCCAGCACAUCGGCUUUAUGAUUCCUCAAGUUUUCAAAAGUUUUCAAUUGUAAAACAUGUGAAAAUGUGUACAGUCUUUUAAUGAAAUGAAUAAAAUAAAAUAAUAAAAU